rnacentral:lncRNA from 1 species
UUGCAUUUAAGUCCCCGCUUGCAUUUUUACAACAAUUAAAAUCACUUCAUCUGCAUUUUUAUAACACAUUUUAUAGUCUUUUUAGUCAUAACAGUCAAGUCAUUUUAAAAUGUCUAAUCGUAAAUUUCUGUUACUUUGAAGUAGCUCAUUUUAGUUACCAAAAGGGACAAUUUUUACUUUUUGUUAAUUCAUUCACUUUAUCUUUAUUAUUUUUAUUUCCACUUAUCUAAUUUCUUUAUUGUUUUAUACUCUUUUGUUUUUCCUUUUCUUUUUUCUCGUUUUCUGAUUAAGUCACGUUUUUUCAAAAUUCAAGUUUUCUAUUUCAUAUUAUUUUUUAUUAAGUCUCUACAAAGUCCAAGUUAGUCAUCUUGAAAGUCAUUUUGUCCAUGUCCACGUGUCAGAAGCUUAGUAGUCCAUUUGAUCCAGAACCCUACAUGUGUCAGAUAUAAAUAGGGGAUGCAUUUACUGCACUGUUCAGAGAGAAAAAACGUGACCAAUUAGAGUCAGAAUGCGUCAGAGAAAAAUCAGUGACUACAAACACAAUUUCCUUCUCUCUCUCCUCUUUACCAGAUCAAACACCACAAAAAUGAUGAACACUUCAUGAAUCCUCAUAAACAUUCAUGAACACAAAAUCACAAAAAUCAUGUAAACCAUAACAUCACCUGCGAUUUUACCAACAAACAACUCGUCUAUUAUCAUCUCGCCACUUUCUACAUCCAAACGAGUUCAAAUCGGCUCACACAAGCAUCAAACGAGUUCGAAUCGGACCUGAAGGUGAAGAAGGAGGAACGAACCGAAAUCAUCACAAGCUACAACAAAUAAACCAAUCCAAAAAGAGAAGAAAAGGUAGUUUCAUUUUUGUUUCUUUGUGCCGUGUUUAAUCUUAGAUCUAGAGUGUUUGUGAACUGUUUUUGAAAUUAUGAAUCUGGAUUUGAAUUUAGAACGAAAAUGGAAUUUCGAAACUGUUAAAAGUUUUUUUAGAAAAGAGGAGUUUGAAAUUCCGGUGCGGUGGUGCCACCACCGGCCACCGCGCUGGAAGAUACAAUCCCGUCGGAGAAGAUGAAGAUUGUUCUUCAUGUUCUUCAUUUGUAUUUUUUUCUUCUUUGAAAUUGUAGAGAGAGGUGAGAGAGAUUGGUUUAGAGAGAGGAUAAAAGAGAAGAAAUGAAAUCUUAAAUCAGAAUAUUCCUUUUAUACUCACUCUCGAUCCCACGCGUGUGCAUCCUCCGUUAUCUCAUGCUCCCUCAUGUUUUUGUGCCACCAGAUCUGGAUAAUUCCACGAUCUGAUGGCUGUUGUUGAAACUGUCUUUUAAUCUGGUGCGCCUUUACUGUUUUACUAUCGUGUUCCUGUUUUUUUUAAACCCUUGGAUCGUUGAUCCAAUGGCUGUGAUGAGAUCUUGGGAUUCAGAUCUGGACCUCUGGAUUCAUCUAACGGUCCAGAUUAGAUCCUGCUGAGCCAAUUUUUUAUUUCUUUCUUUUAAUUGUUCUUUAUCAUUUUUAAAUACUUUU